rnacentral:rRNA from 1 species
UAGGGAAUCUUCCGCAAUGGACGCAAGUCUGACGGAGCAACGCCGCGUGAGUGAAGAAGGAUUUCGGUUCGUAAAACUCUGUUGUUAGAGAAGAACAGCGCAUAGAGUAACUGUUAUGCGUGUGACGGUAUCUAACCAGAAAGCCACGGCUAACUACGUGCCAGCAGCCGCGGUAAUACGUAGGUGGCAAGCGUUGUCCGGAUUUAUUGGGCGUAAAGCGAGCGCAGGCGGUCAAUUAAGUCUGAUGUGAAAGCCCCCGGCUCAACCGGGGAGGGUCAAUGGAAACUGGUUGGCUUGAGUGCAGAAGAGGAGAGUGGAAUUCCAUGUGUAGCGGUGAAAUGCGUAGAUAUAUGGAGGAACACCAGUGGCGAAGGCGACUCUCUGGUCUGUAACUGACGCUGAGGCUCGAAAGCGUGGGUAGCAAACAGG